CUUCUCCAGCCUGGGCUCCACGUUCAGAGAGACACGACCUCCACAAAGCCACUUAUCAAGGUCAUUUUGAUGGCAUGGGUGCUGCCACUUUAGAGAAGAAACUCACAAGGAACUUCAUCUGGACAAAGGUUUCUGUUCUGGAGAUAGUUACUGUAUUUGUAAAGGUGGAGUCGUCAAUAUGACAAUCAUACAAAACGGGGCAAAUUACUGCAUACAUAAAUCAACAACAGUAUUCAAAUCUUCUGAGAUUGCUACUUGAGGUUUUUCCCAAUCUGGGCUAGGCUCAAGGGAGGGUGCAGAUUGGGAAGAGUCAAUUAAUUUUUAGUUUUGCCAUAACAUUUUAUAGUCAUGAUGUCAUGAUCUGAUUUGCUGUUCUUUUUCAAAAUGUUAGCAGAAACUACUGUAGUUACCAUAAUGAGCCAGUAUUGGACACAUUGGGUGAUAUUUUGGACCCAUUAUAGACAUUUGAGAUUUGUUCAUGAACUCAAUGCUUUCCUUAUGGAUUCUGAGCAAAGCCAAAUAGAUGGCAAUUGUAUUAGGCCAUUUACAUUGAACAUGUGUUACAAUUUGGCUAAAUCUAUGCCAAAGUGACCAUCAACAAUAAGGUAAUAGCUUUUCUUGUUAUUGAUAAAUAUGGCCAGAUUCAUAUCACUGUGUUAACAUUGCAAUUUUGUGUUUAUUUUUGAGGGUAAGUCAGAACUUAUUUUCCCUGUCUUGGUUUCAUCCGUCUCCUUUUUCUGCUUUGGUGCCCAUGUAAGACUCAAGGCCAGAGAGAUGUUCAACAAUGGGCCCUGUGGAUAUUUCUCAGAAACAUUUGAAAACAGAAAUGUAUUAAAACAUAUGUAACACUUUUGUCCAUGUACUUAACUUUAUUCGUGUAAUCCAACCCAAAUAAUUGGACACCACUUUUUCCAAUAUAUGAUAAAACAUUAUGCAUAUUUUGUCUGCUGUUGAGAACAUAACUUGUAUUCAUUUUCACGUGUGUUUUAAUAUAAUAAACAUGUCUGUGAAAAACA